GGGUCAGUGGUGAGAAUUUAUCUUGUUGGAGAUGGUGAUGACAUAAAAAUCAUGCUCAAUAGAAUUAUGCAGAGGCCU